UGAGGAAUAUUGGUCAAUGGGCGCAAGCCUGAACCAGCCAUCCCGCGUGAAGGAAGAAUGCGCUAUGCGUUGUAAACUUCUUUUCCAGGGGAAUAAAAUUUUGUACGUGUACGGAAUUGAAGGUACCCUGGGAAUAAGCAUCGGCUAACUCCGUGCCAGCAGCCGCGGUAAUACGGAGGAUGCGAGCGUUAUCCGGAUUUAUUGGGUUUAAAGGGUGCGUAGGCGGACCAAUAAGUCAGUGGUGAAAACCUGCAGCUUAACUGUAGAAUUGCCAUUGAUACUGUUGGUCUUGAGUAUGGUCAAGGUAGGCGGAAUGUGUAAUGUAGCGGUGAAAUGCUUAGAUAUUACACAGAACACCGAUUGCGAAGGCAGCUUGCUGGGCCAUUACUGACGCUGAUGC
rnacentral:rRNA from 1 species